GUGUCAGCAGCCGCGGUAAUACGGAGGGGGCUAGCGUUGUUCGGAAUCAUUGGGCGUAAAGGGCGCGUAGGCGGCCGAUCAAGUCGGAGGUGAAAUCCCUCGGCUCAACUGAGGAAUUGCCUUCGAUACUGUUCGGCUUGAGUCCUGGAGAGGGUAGCGGAAUUCCCGGUGUAGCGGUGAAAUGCGUAGAGACCGGGAAGAACACCAGUGGCGAAGGCGGCUACCUGGACAGGUACUGACGCUGAAGCGCGAAAGCUAGGGGAGCAAACAGGAUUAGAAACCCCCGUAGUCC
rnacentral:rRNA from 1 species